CACACACACACCCAACUCACUCAUGGUUUGGGCUCUGCUUUCCUGACAAUGUUCUAUUAGUCACUCCCAGCAGCAGAGCCCACAUCAACCUGUCUUGCUGCUUCUCUCCAAGCCCACCCAUGCACAUUUGUCUCCAAGGCACAUAAAGCUGGCUGCGAUAACAUGUACCCUAAAAGCAUAUCCUGACACAGUUCCCACCUUACAGGUGGAACAGCACUGAAAACAUAGCCGUGCUUGAAAACCUACACACAUCUGGUGGCAUGUUAGCUGAUGCUCUUGGCUCCGUGCCUUACUCCCUCACCUGCUUCUGGCUGCUGCAAACAGGGAGGCAAAACUCCCGUGAUCACUGUGCAGGUGAUUAGAGGAAAUUGCAUUGCUGAAGCGCUCGGUGGCUGCAGCCCUGCUUCAGCUCUCAUCUUGCCUGCUGGUAAGCUGCCAGCGAGAGGGAAGUGUAGGCAUAAAAUGAAUAGCAGAAGAGAUUGCAGGUAAUUAUGUUUCUUAAGCUGUUAACAGGAUUGGCCAUUUGAUAAAUGAGAGGAUUUGGGAAUGUUUUGUCACUGACAAGCCAUUGUAAGAUCAGAGUGGAAACAGGAAUGUUUCUCUUCCACAGCACGAACGAGAGGGGAAUUCUCUCGGGACACUUAUACUGUGAAAUUCAGCUGAAACCUGGAUGCCAGAGCAGAGAGGAGAAAGGACAGAUACAGGACUUCUCUUAUGCAUGUCACUCCUUUGGUUUUGCAGCUCCUCCAGAGCCCUCUUUGGUGUCCCCAGAGACUUUUGUCCUUUUAUGGUGCCAUCCACAUCCCCACAUGUAGUUUUUGGUGCCCCCAGGGUGCUAGGUCUUUGUCUUCAUGCCCCAAAUCCCUCUGGUUCUCUCGACCUUUUGGUUUGCUUUUGCAGUUCUCCAGCUUGCUGGAGAAACAAGAAGGAAAUCAGCACUGUUGUUUGUCCUUCUGCUCCAACAGUGCUCCUCUGGGGGGUUCUCUGUGCCCCCAGAGCCCCUCUGUUUCCUUUCUAGUGCUUUCCAGGACUUCAGUGUGCCUCUUGGGUCACCCUAAAGCUUUUCAUCUGCCUUUUGGUACCUUUCCUACAAAUCCCAGCCUGCUUUCAAUGGCCCUCAGCACCCUCCAUUUCUUUCUGUGUGUGUCCACUGAAGCCCCCCAGGGGCAUCCAUCUACUUUCUGGUGUCUCCCCCACUCAAGUCCCCCCAUUUGCUUUGAUACCCUCACGAGCCCUCCAUGGGUGUCACCCCUAAGAAUGCACACAAGGCUGCUCUGGUUUGAAGGGAUUUACCCUACAGUGAGGAAAGUGGUGUCAGCGGUGAACUGCAUGGUGAAAAAUCAUGUUAAAAAUCUUCUCAGAUGUCAGCAACAUGUGGCCAGUGGCUCCAGGAUGCUUCUAUGGAUGCAGUCCUCUGCUGUGACCCCUUGGAGUCCUUCAUCCUACUUGGCAUGGACCCUGCUUUCAUUGCAGACCCUGACACUGGAGGGCAGAGAAGAAGAUAAGGAAAGAACAAAUACAACUCCCUAAAACUGAUCUCUUCUACUGCUUCUCCUCGGGGUUUCACCAGGGCUGCCUCUGUCAGCCAGGACACCCUCCCUGCAGGAUCAGAGCCCGAGGCAGCCCCUGCCCAUGUGUGGCAGCAGAGGAGUGGAACACCCCCCAAAAUCUCCAUUUCAGCUUUUCAUCUCUUUGCUUUACCUGGUUCUUAGCAGCUACAGCCAGAUUACUAGUAUUGUUUAGGUUUCCCUGCAGUUAUCAGCAGGGAAGGGUUGCUGCUAGAAGCUGUGCCCCUCGUAUAUCAUUUUUCCAGCAGAUCGCAAGCAGAGCUGGAGGAGACACACUCCCUGCUUCAGUCCUGACAACAGUCUGGAGCAAGGGUUGGGUGCCCAAGGAAGGAUAAGAUGGGAAGCAAUUAAGCUGCCUUCCUUUCCUUGCAGCAUGUCCUACACUAGACAAGCAAUAAUAGAAAUUCAGGAAGACAGAAGAGAUGCGCACCCUGCCUCACUUUCUUCCCAGAGACUGGAGAGGCAGCCCCCUAUCCAGUGCACUUGCGUGAGGAAGAAGCUUUCCUGCCCUUGCCUGGCUGCAGCUCCCAGCAGGCACUGGCAGCCUGCACCUGAGGAGUGUUUAUGAAGCACAUUGCAACAAAGGCUGGAGUCCUACAAGAGCUGUGUUUGUUGGAGUCUUGAUAAAAUGGAGUACGGCACAAGCUGGGCUGAAGGGAGCAUUGGUGAAGAAGGAGAAGCAGCCCCUUCUCGCACUGCAAAGAAAUAGGAGCUGUUGCAGAAGGACAACUACAGCUUUUGGCUGCCCUCUUUUAGCUUCACAAACACAGCAAUGAGCUUUUCCUGAUGCAGGUGCUGUGGGGCAAGCUGGGGAUCAGGAGCAAGGCAAGGCCUGCUUUUGUGAUAUGUUAGCAAGGAUUAAGUAAAACAAGCACCAAACCAAAAGUCACCUUGUCCGUUGUGCCUUGCUCCACCUUCUGUUUCCAAGAGCAAAACCAACCCAGCACGAUGCUCUCAUGCCUGAUUCCUGCUCAGCAUUUCCUGUGGCGCGGCUCCCCAGUGAGGGCUGCAGGGAGCAGAGCAAGCUGGCAAACACUGGCCCCUCCUCCUGUGGCAGCUCCUCGAGGCGUAAAUGAAGGCAAAAUCCAGUUCUUUCUACUUCAAAUAGUCUCUGGAAAACAAGAUCACUAACUCCUUGCAGCUUCAGCUGAAGUCUAAAAUGGUGGCCUCAAGCGGCUGGUAGAGGGGUGGACAAGAGGUGAAAAAGCAGUUAUUCUUAGCAGCAAGCAUCUAGGAAAAGAAAAUAUGGGUUUUAACAGAAAAAAACAUAGCAGGAUAGGCACUCCCAACAUUUCCA
ensembl:lncRNA